ACGUUUUUGGAAGUUAAUUUUAUUAUAUGAAGAUGGUAUACAAAAUACAUUCAUCAUGACUAGAAAUAUAGGACCAAACCAUGUCUGUCUUAUAUCUGUAGCAUAUAUUCUUGGUUUGUAUAAAAGUAACUUUAAAAUUCCAGUUUCCUUAAAUAGUUAUGCACAAAACACACACACACACACAUACACAUAUAGUUACACCACUGUUGGCCAAAGAUGCACUCCUCCUUUAAUCAAUUUAAAUGAGGCUAGCGAGUAUCUGUUUGAUGUUUGCGUUCUUAUGGGCUAGGAAACAAGGCACAGGUCCCUAAAAUUAACAUCUAGGCGUCACUUCUUGGACUGACGAGACACAGACUCGUAUAUGGUUUCAGCCCCAUUCCACCCACACUGUUCCACAUACAUUAUCUCAGAAACUCUGAAAGGAAGUGCUUGUUCUUUGUUAGUGCCAUUUUUGUCGUAAAUGGCAAAUGAUUGGAAUAUUAUCAGUUAAUUCAUGUUUCAAUUUUCAGUGCUAUUUUAAUGAACAAGCACUUUGUAACUAGCUCAUUAUUACAAGCCUCCAUUUUUCUUUCUACAUUAAGACUCCAGAUGGAACCAUUCUUUGACUGACGGAUGGACUCAUGUAUGCUACAAACCUGAGUUUGAAGAAGCUGAGUAACGGAAUUCUAAUGAUUUUUCUUUUCUCUUGGAAAGGAGUAUCUAUUAUGGUCUCUUAAUGAUUAAGAAUUAGAUUAUUGAAAUCAAGACAUAUGAAUAGCUAAGGUUUUAUUUGUUAUCACUAUUUGCUGGGCUGUUACCUGAUUUGGAAAAAAAAAAUAGAGAAUUGACUGAGGUCUUUUUUCUGUGUUUAACCUCCUUCCAGUUACCUGAUUUAUAAUAUUGCCAGCUGUCACAGGUGCUUUUGUGUAUAUAAAGAAGAGGAAGAACAAAGAUUUGUCCUCUCUUCUGGCUCUAGCCUGCUUUUGUUUGGAUUUAGAUCUUGGUGGAGAGACCUGUCCCGCUCCUCUCUUCUGGCUAGUGCGUCUUCCACAAAAGCCACUGCCAGGAGCCAGUGGGCUCGCUCGGGAAUAUGCUGAUGGUGGUCCCAUCUCUUCGUUCAGAGAGCCUUUAAACAGGGAUGUGGCACAUAAGAAUGGAAGCAUAUAUUCUUCUGUUACUUAGAGCCCAGGUUCUAGAGUUAAGUUACAUGGAUAAAAGGAAGCAUACUCUUCUCCCCAAGCAGCAGCAAUCCACUGUUGCCUGUCCAGCUUCUGACUGGCUGCAGAAGGUGCAGGCAUCCUAAAUACAUAGACCCUAACUUGCAUAAAUAGCGUCCAACAGAGCCAGCUUUAGUGAUCCAAGGCCCACUUGAUCUUUAGACCCUAAGAGUAGGCAUCCUUUGCUACCCUGUCUCCCUAUUCCCAUCAUGCUCAGACCCCAGGCAAGGUUCAAAGCAGUUGAAAAUGGGCUUUUCUUCUAAUGAUGGCUCAUUAACUAAUAUCCUGAGUCCCAACUGGAGAAAUAUCUUGCAUAAAUUACAUAUCACCUUUUUUCUCAAGGAGCUUAAAGUGCUUAAUAUGCAUCAGCUAAUGCUCUUCCACAUCCUUCCAGAUUAGUGGGAUAGAGUGGAAUCCCCAUGAAAUGAAAAGGAAACGUGACUGGUUGCCUGUGCUUUGGGUCCCAGCUGUGUUGGUGAAUUGGUUUGGCUGGUUUAGAGAUGGGGUUUUCCCUUGACCUAAUUGACCUUUUUCCUCCAUCAGCCCUAGUUUUGGUGUGGAGAAAACCCUCCUCGAGACGGCAUUUUCAUUCUUCUCGGCUUGCUUUCACAAGGAACUGUGCAAAACAGGAUAAUACCAAGAAAUUAAGUGUCUGGACUGUAUAUUAAUACUCAAAAUAGAAUGUGACAUUUUAAGUGUUAAGGCCAUCAUGCCAUGGAUACAACCUAAGUUUUCAGUGCAUCUU
rnacentral:lncRNA from 1 species